rnacentral:rRNA from 1 species
UGCGCAGGCGGUUUUGUAAGACAGAGGUGAAAUCCCCGGGCUCAACCUGGGAACUGCCUUUGUGACUGCAAGGCUAGAGUACGGCAGAGGGGGAUGGAAUUCCGCGUGUAGCAGUGAAAUGCGUAGAUAUGCGGAGGAACACCGAUGGCGAAGGCAGUCCCCUGGGCCUGUACUGACGCUCAUGCACGAAAGCGUGGGAGCAAACA